GCCAGAGAAAGGAUCUUCAUCCAAGAGCAAGAGAAAUGAAAGCGAUAGCAGGGAAGUGAUGAAAGACAUCAAGGAAAGUGAGGAGACAGAUAAGAAAAUGAGGAAAUGAAUGACAAGAUCAGAAGGCAGGAAGAUCUGGAACAAGUCACAAAUGCAUAGCAUGGAGGUGACUGCUCUGAGGAAAAGGACUCGGCGCAUGACUCUCGGAGAGUAACAGAUGAACGUCCACUGGUCUGGGAAUCAGGAAGGCUUCCCUGAGGACUGGAGCCUUGUUUGGAUUGUAUCCUCUUUAUGCUAAGGGUUUUAAUAAGGAGGAGGAGAUGGACAUGAUCCAAUGUGCAUUUUCAAGGGAAUAAUCUCUAGUCCUAUCUCUCCACAUCCUGAAUAUUUCUGGCAUCUGUUCCUUUUCCUCCAUCUUCACGACCAUAACUAGCAUGAGCCUCCAUUAACCCACCCCUGGGAAAGUUCUCUCCAAAGGGCAUUGAUCAUGUACCUCAUCACUAAAAACAUCUUGAUGAUACUUAUGCAAGGUAAUAUGUACAGUUCACAGGACUUGGAGAAAAAAGAGUCAUAUCCAGACCUAAUGCAGACAUAGUGGGGCAUCAUCCCCAAGGAAGAGACCACUGCACAUCUCCCAGAGGUCCUGGACUUUAAGUUUGAUGCUGUGGAUGAGAGACUUUUGGCUUGUCUCCCUCAGGAUGAGUGUAUUUACAGUGCAAGUGGGAGAGAGAACCAAAUAUUUGGAGACCAGAAGGGCAGAGUGUGAUGUCACCAGUGAUUUCCAACAAAUACUUCUGGUACUCCCUGCUUCCGGCCUCAUGUUGUGAUCACAGUUCUCUCUCACCUUGUGUAAGACCAUGUGAUUUCUUUGGCCAAUGAAAUGCAAACAGAAGAGAUGCGUGAACUUCUAGGCAGAAGUUUUAAGAACCAGUGCACAAUUCACAUCAUUCUCUUCCUCCUGCUAAGAUGCCAAGCAGGUGCUGAGAUGGAGCAUCAGUUAGCCUGGGUCCACCCUACUGACCACACUGGACAUAGAGUAUGAACGAGAAAGAAACCUUAGUUGUGUUAAGCCACUGAGAUUUGGGAUGUUUUGUUAUCACAGCACAACUUACUCUGUCUGAUACACAUAGUAAAAUCGAAUGCCUUAGGAAAGCAAAAUGUGUGCUGCCAUUUUUGCCCUAUGUUAAAUAGAUAUCAAUAAUUAAGCCAUUUCUGAGAGGUUCUUUCAUUUUUCCCUCCAGAAUCAUCUAAGUUGUCCUCUAGCCUGAACCAGUAAAGAGAAGGGUAUUCAUAUGCAUAGAAGACCCUCAUUAGCAAUUAUUUGUUCACUAUUCUGUCAUGUGCUGCUGUGACUUUGGGUACUCCAGGAACUCUUCUUUCCAUUUUCUCAAAUGCCUACAGAAUUCAUUUUUACAUUGUAAUUGUUUGAACGUGGAGAGAGGGAACAAAGCGUUGAUUUGUAUAUCGUUUAGCU